rnacentral:lncRNA from 1 species
UGUUGAAAAACUGAGAGUUAAUUAGUGCAAUUCACGGUUAAUUUGGGGCGUUGAGUAUUCAUAACUUAUCGAAAAGCAAUUGGAAAUCAUUUUGUAUGCAAGUGUGACAUGUGUGAAGAAGAACCUCCUAGCUAGCCUUCCAUCCAUAAGUUUUAAACCAAAGUCGUUUUAAAACCUGUUUUGUUUUACAAAGUUCUUAUUUUAUUUUAAAUUCGUCAAAACCAAUUCCCUCUGUAGUUUCAAGUGUCAUUUUAGUUAGAAAUCAAUUUAGUUUGUGUUUCUAAGUGUAUUGAGUCAAGUUAUAACAUAUUUUCGUUCAAUUUCUUCCUUAGUGUUCAAAACUGCCCAGAUUGUGUUU